rnacentral:lncRNA from 1 species
CCUGUUAUAAUUUCCCUCUCAAGCCUACUCCAGCAUCAGGGUGACACAGGGUGACAUGUCCUGUAACCUGCCCUCAUUCCACAGGGGUGAAAAGAGAGAUGAUAACAAGGUUAAAAACUGUGGAGAGCUGAUGGUAGCACCUACUCAUCCAGAGCCAAAGAAGGCUGCCUGACAGUGGUAACACCCAGUCUCUUCAAAGACAAACCAGAGCUGAAGAGAGGGAGGGUGCCUACAGGAAGGAUACAAGAGCAGCCAUGACAGGGGUGUUGGGAGACCCCUGCUGGGCACAUCCACAUCCACAUCCCAGGAACAAGGUUGUAGGUAUGUUUGGUCAGUAACAUCCUGCCUGUACCUGCCCUGUCCUAUGCUCUCCUGCUCACACAUGAUGGUGACCAUACUUCCAGGAGGCCUUUGGCUGUCCCAUGACCCCAAGUAAAAAGCCCCACUUCUCUGGGAUUGUCUCUGCUACCUCUAGCAGGAUACAACAACACCAUCUGCACAGGGGUGUGGCAUACCUGAGACAGUACCCGUAAAGUGCUGUGUGUGGCACUGCAAGAGUCUGGCUGCUUGAUGAAGGAGUCUGAAACACCAGCAGUGAAGAGCACAAGAGAACCCUGCUUCUCUACUGUCUCAGGUCAUCUGGAAUGUACUGAUCCAUCCAUGAGCUCCAGCCCCCUUACUGUACACAUAUUACCCAUAUGCAUGCAAAUUUAUGUUUUAAAAUCCAAAUACAUGUAGACCUCAUGAAAACUGUAUCUGAAAGGUACCAUCAGUAUCCAUAAUGAUUAAUUCCAAGAGGAGCAACAGAGGCCCAGAAAGGUGAGCUGGCUAAUAGCCUCCUAGCUGGAACUAUUGAAGCUGGGAUUUUAAUCCAAACAGUACGGCUUUGCACAGGAAGUCCAUCCAAACCCUCAGACUACAUACAGGAAAGCAGGUGGGCCCAGAGAGGGUGAGUGAACCACCUUAGACCUUGCAGCAACUCGGGAGUGCCUCCCGAUGCCCUGUGUUAGAACCUGCAGUUCAUCCUGAUGGCUACAAGGCCAGCAGGCAAAGUGCCUGGACCUUUGCAAAGAAGCUCUGGUGAAGCAUGUUCAUCCCUCUGCUCUGGGAGCAGCUUUGCUCUCAGACCCCCCUCACACCGCAUCCCCUGCCCCCUCAGGCAGCACCAAGCAUUCUUGGGACACCUGCAGGGAGUGAUACCAUCUGUGUCUGGGGCACAAUUGGACAAGACUCUUGACAGCUGACAGCCAGGCCCAGCACGUGGUCCAGGACAUCCCACUCCUGGCUGUCUGAUGGAACAGGAGCUCACAAGAAGUGCUGUAGAAGAGCAACAGCCCAGGAGAGGAAGUGCUGUGAACUCUGUCUUCUUCAACCAUGAGCUCCUAGUAGCUGUGGGUAUGGUAACAAGACCGGUACAAGAUGGAGGCUAUCACAUUCCAUUAUAGAUAGGGGAGGGGUUCAUGAAGCCCUACCCUUAGCUGGGGAGCUCUUGAUAAUUAAUAGCCACUAGGAAGGGG